AAAGAAAGAGAAGAAACGAAAGAAGGAAAAGAAAGAGAAAAAAGAUAAAACAGUUGAGUAGGAUGUAUAUCGCUAUGAU
rnacentral:ribozyme from 12 species